rnacentral:rRNA from 1 species
UGAAUACGAGAUGCUAAGGCGUCGAAGUAGUGUAUGUCAUACUUCCAAGAAAAGCUUGCACUGUCAUAAAUAAAAAGUGCCUGUACCAUAACCGACACAGGUGGGUAAGUAGAGUAUACUAAGGGGCGCGAGAUAACUCUCUCUAAGGAACUCGGCAAAAUGACUCCGUAACUUCGGGAGAAGGAGUGCCUUAUUCUUAAGGUUGCAAUAACAAGAUCCAAGCAACUGUUUAUCAAAAACACAGGUCUCCGCUAAGUCGUAAGACGAUGUAUGGGGGCUGACGCCUGCCCAGUGCCAGAAGGUUAAAGAAGUCGGUUAGCAAUCGCGAAGCUGGUAACUGAAGCCCUGGUGAACGGCGGCCGUAACUAUAACGGUCCUAAGGUAGCGAAAUUCCUUGUCGGGUAAGUUCCGACCCGCACGAAAGGCGUAAUGAUUUGGAUGCUGUCUCGGAGAGAGGCUCGGUGAAAUAGACUUGUCUGUGAAGAUGCGGACUACCUGCACCAGGACAGAAAGACCCUAUGAAACUUUACUGUAACUUGAAAUUGAAAUUGGACUUUAUUCGCGCAGUAUAGGUGGGAGGCGUUGAUUAUAAUCUUGCGGGAUUAUUGGAGCCAUCAGUGAGAUACCACUCUUGUAAUGUUAGAUUUCUAACUUUGAAUCAUUAUCUGGUCAAAGGACAAUUUCAGGCGGGCAGUUUGACUGGGGCGGUCGCCUCCUAAAUGGUAACGGAGGCGUACAAAGGUUUCCUCUGAACGGUUAGAAAUCGUAUCUAGAGUGUAAGGGCAUAAGGAAGCUUGACUGUGAGACCUACAAGUCGAGCAGGGACGAAAGUCGGUCUUAGUGAUCUGACGGUACUGAGUGGAAAGGCCGUCACUCAACGGAUAAAAGUUACUCUAGGAUAACAGGCUGAUCUCCCCCAAGAGUUCACAUCGACGGGGAGGUUUGGCACCUCGAUGUCGGCUCAUCGCAUCCUGGGGCGGUAGUACGUCCCAAGGGUUGGGCUGUUCGCCCAUGAAAGCGGUACGCGAGCUGGGUUCAGAACGUCGUGAGACAGUUCGGUCCAUAUCCGGUGUAGGCGUUAGAAUAUUGAGAGGAGCCUUCUUUAGUACGAGAGGACCGAGAAGGACAUACCUCUGGUGUACCAGUUAUCGUGCCAACGGUAAACGCUGGGUAGCUAUGUAUGGAGUGGAUAACCGCUGAAAGCAUCUAAGUGGAAGCCCACCUCAAGAUAAGUAUUCUC